GCCGGUAAAAGCCGGAGGAAGGUGAGGAUGAUGUCAAGUCAGCAUGACCUUUAUAUCCAGGGCUACACACACGCUACAAUGGUCUGUACAAUGGGUAGCCAAGCCGCGAGGCGGAGCCAAUCCUGAAAAGCCAGGCCUCAGUUCAGAUUGCAGUCUGCAACUCGACUGCAUGAAGCCGGAGUUGCUAGUAACCGCAGGUCAGCAAUACUGCGGUGAAUACGUUCCCGGGUCUU
rnacentral:rRNA from 1 species